UAAUUCAAGAGAAUUCUGAGUGAAGGCUGGGUUUCCAAAUUGUAAGGACCAGCCUCGUACUAACACAGUGGAAGGAGAAAUAGCUUUGCCUUGGCACAUCACCAUGGAAUUUCAGAACACUGGGGAGAAAGAGGACUCUGUAACUUCCUGAGAGUAUGAACAAGACACCAUACAAAGGAUCAGGCUUCAGAACAGCUUUGAGGAUCAGGAAUCCUCAAAUGCCACACUGGGCAAUAGAGGGAUUCGACCCUCUCAGAAUUCUGAGGGAAAUACAUACAAAAGUCAAGCUGAAGACUUGCAGUUUCUUUAAAAACUUACACUCCACACAUCCUUUCUUAGAAAACUAUUAGAGGAUGUAUUAUUCCAGAAUGAGGGAGUAAACCAAGAAAGGAGAAAGCCUGGUAUUCAGGAAAUGUGGGUCCAACAAGAGAGGCAAGGUGACUCCGCAGCAGCGUGGUGAAAACUCUCAGGAUGGCAGCCGAGCCUCAGGCACAGUAGAUGCCCAGUCGGGAUCAGAUGUGCGGAGGCUGAGGCUCCGGAGAAGGUGUCUCAGUUACAGAACACCUGUGGUCUCUGCAUAUGUGGAUAGGAGUUGGGCUUGACUUACUGACGAGUACCUAGGAAAGCAGGGGACAGAACUCCAAGGAACACGAGAGGCUGGGCGAGGCAGGAAGACGUUAUCCCAGUAACACUGGAGGCCUCAGUCCUAAUAACAGCAACCUACUACCUACCGCGCUGUUACGGGGGCAUGGAAGGUGGAGUGUGUGGGGUAAAAGCUAGAUACUACAGAGCAGAAUUCAUUACAACCAACGGAGGCAGCAACAAAGACAAAAUGUGCGUCUUUCCAAAGAACUGAAACGAUACACCUCCAGAGAGGUGUCAGGACAAAAAGCGUACAAAUCCAGUAUUUAAAAGGGAAAUUUUACCGACCAUGUAAAAAGAUGAGAGGACAUAUUAUAACAACUUUUUGAUAGUAAUGUGAGAAUUCAGAAGAAACGGUCACCUUCCUAGAAAAACAACACCCAAUUUAAGAAGGUGCUCUCACAGCCACCAGGGCAGCCACUGCCCUUCAGCAAGUGGCAUUUAGUACUUGUCCCGGAAAUCUUGGCGCGUCUCCUUUAAGAGGCAGUGAAGCCCCGCCCCGCGUGGGAACGCCAUCUCUUAGCGCCCAUUCUGACCUACGUCACACCCGUGUCGGGCCAAUCCAGGAGGGGGUGUUCCUGUGCGUCCGGCGGCGUGGGGCGGGACUUCCGGAGCCGUCCUCCCGGGGUCGCUUCCGCCCUGGGGUCUGUGCAGCUCGGAUCCAGCAGGGAGGUGCGUGGGGGCCGUGCCGGGGGAUUCCCGGCUGGCGCCCCUCCUCUGGCAGGGCCGGGUGGUCUCAGGAUGUGGCCCGGGAGGCCGAGCGGCGCCUUGAUUGGGUUCGGGGCCUGCUGGUGGCGAUCCGACGCGGGGAACGUUUCACUUGUGGCCCCGGGUGGUUGGUGUGAAGCAGAGGGGGCACCUUCUGAGCGCUGUGUUUUUGUAAGAGGGUGUCGGGUCGGGGCUCCCCACGCACGUCUGUCCACUCAGACCCGUACCGUGCGGCGUGUGGCCCAGGCUGAGGACCGGGGCGCCGCAGCCGGCAGAAGCUGCCGUCAGGAGGAAGCUUCCGUUUUCCCGGCGCCAAAGCAGCACCGCGGAGAAACCCUGCAAAAGCGGGCAGGGUAGGGCCUCGUGGAGCGCUGUGGAGCCACGUGUCAGAGAACGCCCUAGUGUGCGGGGGGGACAGGUUCCCCGGCGCUGGAAGACGGCGCCAGGCCAACCACAGGAGGGGGCGGCCAGGUAGGGGCGCGGGGGCGGGGAGCCCUUAGACCCUGGGCAGUGCAUCCAGUGUGAGGGAGCCCAGGCAGCCCCAGCCGGGGGGGGGGUCUGAAUGCACUUAACCCCCCCUCAGAAUCCACACUGGCGAAGGGCCUUUUGAGUGCAGCCGCUGGGGGAAGGAUGCAUUCAGCGAAGAAAACACACUUGUUUGGUGCAGGACAGAAAGGCCCAGUUAGUGCAGUAAGUGUCAGAGAGCCGGUAGCCACACUGCUCGGCUCCCUCAGCCUCAGAAAGUUUAUACUAGAGAAAGUCCCUUUGAAUCCAUGGAAUGAGAGCCCUUUGCCAAAGGUCUGAUUUAGCUCUGGGAAGUUCACAGCCUACAAAGGUGUUCAGAGUGCAGCAAACGUGGGAAGACCUCCUGCCAAAACUUCAAACUUGGGUUGCCUCAAAGUCUGUUAAGUCCGACCAGGGUGAGAAGGCAUUAAGCUGCAGGUCCAGCCUCAUUCACCCCUGACAGAUUCACACACAGGAAGACCUCAUGAAUGCAGAGAAGGGGAAAAGCCUCUCCCCAAAGAGCUUCGUUCAGCCCUGGGAUGUUCACCCCAGGGAAAGGCCUCUGAGAGCAGCUGUCGCGAGAAAACCUUCAGUCAAGAGCCUCACCUCGUAAAGCCUCGGGAGGUUCACCCCGGAGAGAGGACUUAAGUGUGCAGGAAAUGUGCUCGCUCCUUGUUUGGUGUAACAGGACGCGUGCCUGAGACCGGCUGGCAGUAUCCUCCGUGAGGAUGCCGUGAGAAGAGAGGUUGAACUUCAUGUGGUCAGAUGCCCACAGGGGCCAUUCCUAAUGAGCUCUGGGUGUCGGGGGCGCCUUGAGGAGUUAGGUUGCACUUUCUCAGCUGCCCAGGACUCUUGCCAUAGUUAUCUCACUGUCAGUGCCUCUGCAGAAGCCAUCUCACCAUUGCCAGCUGGGAGGGACUUGAAACUGCUUGUUCCAGUCCCUGGAGGGGCCCUGUGAGCAGCCCCUUGUGAACAGAAUUGGAGUCUGCCCGCAUUGAGGGCCAAAGGAAUUGACAGGGAAGAAUACUGGACUUUCGGCCUAUUUUAUUGCUGCCCAGGACCUCCUGGGAGUGACUGAAGUGUCAGAGGCUUAAUCCUGUGGCCUGGAAAUCAGGAUUGUUUGGGGUGUGGAGGUCACCCUGGGGGGGGGGGCGAGAGCCCCCAGUGCAUCUCAGAACCCUGUCCCUUGUUCCCUGGCCCUGCUAAAGGGAGCUUUUCCUUAGCAUCAGCCUAGGAUCCUUGUCCCCUGAAGUUCAGAACCCGCUAGGCAGGUGUCAUUGACCGUAACAUCUACAGGGGCCAUGUAGGAGCCAUAAUUAGUGCAGAAAGACCAGGUGUCAUAGUUGGGAGUGGAGAAGACUGCGGCACAGUUAAGAGGGUGUUUGUGACCCUUUUACGUGGACGCUCAGAAUUGUUCUAGUAACUCUGUCUCUGAGAGUGUGCAGAAAUUCUCAGGAUCUCCAAACGCAUGUCUCUCCUACAGCCAAGUUCACUAUCAGCAAAUGAUCUAAUUUCUGCAGUAGUUGAGGCCACUCUAGGGCAGGGAAGGUCACUAGGUUGCCCUGGGCUUCUGGGCCAAGGCUGGCAGGCAGGAAGCCACCUGUUGGUAUGCCAAGAAAUUCGCUGGGAAGCUGCUUGCAGAGUUUGUUGAACUUGGUGGAAGCUGGCUGGAGGGGGCUGGACUCCCCGGGAGUGCUGGGAAGCUGCCUGUGGGGAAGAUGAACUUUCUGGGAAGCCAGUUAGGAUUCCUGAAGAGCUCAACCAGGAAGCCGCCUGCAGGGUGCGGCUGAAACUUGCUGGGAGGUGAGCUCCACUGUGCCUCCACUGUGCCAGCCAGGUGCCACUGGCGUAAGAGGGAAGGAAAGCACCAGGGACCUGGGAGGGAGACACUGUCCCCUUCCCAGCGUUCCUUCAGCGCCCCCUACUGGCAGGCCUAACAGCAUUCCUGCUGGUGAGGAAGCCUUGUCCCAGCAUCACAGCCGAGCCCUGGGGAAGGGAUUUGGGAAGGAGGAGUCACGUGAUUGCUUGAAGCAACUUUGCCGAGUUCUCCCUCCAGUCAAGGGGUCUAGCCUGUGAACUGAGUUAGGUCUGAGCAUUGGGUGAGAGGCAGUCACUGUCCACAGUUGUGAUUCAGGUCAGGUUUUUGGCUCUUAGGCCUAAAGGUUUCUCCCCCGUGUUACAGCUCAGUCAGCUAUAACUUACAUUCUUAGGGCCACCAUGUUUGGGUAACCACUGUCAAAAGAUCCCUGGGGACCAAGGCGUUGUGCGUACGUAUCUGCUGUCUCCCCCAACCCCCUUUUUGGCUGCACCUGUGGCAUGUGGACGUUCCCAGGCCAGGAACCAAACCCAUGCCCCAGCAGUGACCUGAGCCACUGCAGUGACAACGCCAGGUCCUUUACCCACCGAGCCAGAAGGGGUCUCCAGUAUCUGCCACGCUCCAUGGCUGCUGCACCCCGCCCGGCGCCUUACUGGUUGGUGCCUGUCGUUUGGCCUCCCCUGCUCUGGGACCCCACCAUCUCCACUGAGGGCGGAGGGCUGGCUCCUCAGCGGCACAUCCCCACGGCUGUUCACAGACCUGCCCUCUCACCAUGUAGCCUCAGUGCCUGAAUCAAACACCUGUCUUCCAGGACUUCGCAGAAGGCGAAGGUGGUGUGACGGUCACACAGGAUGCGGCCGGCCCAACCCUCCCGUCUCCCUGCGUCUCUGGCCUCUCCCCUUCAUGCGGGGGAAGUUGUGCAUCGCAGCAGCCUUGUUAUGCGUGGGCCGUUUCCUGAGCGUAAGUUUCAGUCGCUCAGACACCUGUAGAAACAGGUCCAGCUGCUCAAGAGAGUAAAGACAUGAAUGCCGGGCUCGGCAACCGCCCGUCAGCAGUGCAUGUGAGCCCAUCUCGUGUGAGGCUCCACCCUCCCUGGUCUAUCAGCCUUGGAAGCCACAUUUUUGCGUACAUCCAGUACAUAGCUAUUCCUGCUCCGUGUUGGAAAAGCUUACACUUUGUAGGUGUGUAAGCUAUUCUUCCUGAGGCGGGGUGUGGUCUCGUUCCCCUGGAACACGCUGUGAUUUGACCUUCGUCACAUGGCUGGUGGCGGUAGAGGGCUAUGGGGGGACUGGAGAAUGGGUGCCCUGCCCCCACUACCUUCAAGCCGUCUACCCUUGGCAAGGUUGUCCCUGGGUCUUCAAGCAAAGGAAGACUGCUCUUCUAGAUGCCACAAACGAGUAGUGAGAGAGGCUGAGAAUGACCGGGGCUUGAGGAUGGUCAGCUCCCCUGCCUCUAACCAGAUGGCCCCGCCUCACACCACCCCCCAGCCAGGGCCUCACUUCCCCUUGAGAUGCCGAGGAGGCCGAAUUCGACUGUUGUUCACAAGCAGCCCAGUGAGACUGUCUGGGCUUUGGAGGUGUCAGCCCUGUGACUGCAGGAAAAAGAGCUUCAGUUAGGGCCUCCACUGAAGCAUUCUGGUUCUCGCUGUCGCUUGUCCUGAGAGUUGUCACCAUGACUGGUCAUCUUCUCUCUGUAUGCAGGCUAGUGCCCUGGGGACCACCCCACACGGCAUCCCUGUUGUCAUGGUUACCAGCCGUCUAAAAAGCUCAGGGCUGCAGGGACUCCAAGGUGCCUGGUCAGUCAGCUCUUCAUCACAAGCAACCAGAAGCCGUGGCUUGGUUAAUUUAGCUCUGAUGCUGGUGCGUGCAGCGUGCCACGGAUGACCAGCGUCUCAUUUCCCACUGCCGGGAGCUCAGCCCUGUGUACACUUGAUGUCACAACAGGUCAAUCCCUACAUCCCACCUUUGCAAGGCUGUCUCUUGUGAUCACUCCUGGUGCCAGUUCUGUAUCAGUCAGGGUCCAGUCCAGCAGGCGGUAACCUUGAGCAAGGAGCCUUUGACAUAAGGAAUUAUUAACUAUUUCCAGGGAGGAAAAGAGAGGCUUCUAAGGAUACCCCAAAGGAGUGUCCCCAAGGAAGGAAUAAACGCAGAAGGGAGGGAGCCCUCCUGAAGGCUGGAGUGAGACCUGGUUGGAAGUGGUGUUGUUUCAGCUCCACAGACGACAGAGAAGUUUGCUGGAUUGAUCUUGUUCCUGGACCAGAGAUGGUCCAUGUUUUUUGGUCCAAGACUGAUGGACAAGAACCUGGAGCAAGCAGAAGGCAGGACCCCUGCCCCCCCCCCCCCCGCACUGGGAUGCCCAUGUAAUUGGCCUGGAAGCUGCCCCUGGGGAAGGGAGGUGCAGACAGCUUUGCUCAGAAGCUGGGACGUGGCUGGGCUGGCUGGUGAGCUGCUGAGAAGCCCUCUGGGGGAGCCACCGAACUCUGCACCAGGAAGCUGUCCCAGGUGCCCUGAAGCUCACUGGGAGGCGAGCUCCCCUGGGUGCACCGCGCUGCAGUCCAGCAGCAUGGGAACAAGGAGGGAGGAGGAUGCGGCUAACGGGGAAGAAACUUCCUCCCCCACUGUCCCUCCAGCUCCCUCUACCGACUGAGCCUAAAAUUGCGUCUGCUGGCAAGCGCUGGUCUGGCAUCAGAAGCAAAUGGUCUAUUGAAGAGUAGUGUUGGGACAGUGGGUCCAUAUUCACACAGCAUACACACAUGCACACGUGUGGGUGCAAGCAGACAGAUCUCCACAUUUCACCGUGUGGAUGCAUUGCAAUCUGACAGACUGGAGAAAG
rnacentral:lncRNA from 1 species